ACAACCAACCAGUGAUAAGGAGGCUCAAUUUCCCAUAAUGCCUUUGGGCAUCUGUGAGUUUUAAUGCUCAAACCUUCAGAAUUAGUGCAUUACUUUAAACUAAAAUAUAUUUGUGAUAUUUUCACUUUUUUAACAUUUUCACAGAA